rnacentral:lncRNA from 13 species
AUGGAAUCCUCCAAGUUUGCACAAGUUUGUGAAAAUUUAAAACAGAGAACUUUAAACGUCCCGAAUGGAGAGAGAUGGGAGCUGGGCAUGGCAUGGGAAGUUCUUGCUCUUAAAGCUACGCCCCCUGGUGGACCCGGAAAGACAACACAUGAACACAUUCCCUCAGUUCCAUCAUCCAGUCAACUAAAAUUUCCUUUUUCAUACCUUUCUGUAAGUAUAAAAUCUAUCUUCCUUCUCUCUGAAAAUAUAUAAUGAAAAUUUUAAUAAUCAAUUUUUAUAUACAGUCAGGAGGCACGUUUCCCUCAGAACUCACUUUCAGGUUGAAAUGAAACUAAUUAUAAAUAUAUAGAUAUAUAUAUAUAUAUCUCACUAGUAAACUUAGUGAUUUAUCUGCCUCCUAUAUAAAUCAAUAAUGCAUCAUACUUUUCUCCCUUGUAUUAUUUAUUCAUCUUCCUAAUUUCUCCAAGACUUAAUAAAUUUAACGUGGUAAUUCA